GCAUCUCUCUGCAUCCAGUGACCAGCAUGACAAACACCUGCUGCUUGUUUGUUCUCGUCCUGUCCCCAAGCAGCAAUGUGCACACAGAUGUCUUCUGUUUAAACAAGCAAAACAUAACAUGUUGCUUGUUUUUUUAACCUACAGAUCUUUUAAGUGGAUGUCAUUAAGCCUUUAGAGUCGAAGUGAAGUCUAUGAGGUGUGAGGGAAGAAGCAGCUGAAAAGAUAGGGGGACAGAGGAGUGAGAGGAACCUCUUCAGUUCUCCACUCUCCAUACAACAGCAGCUUCACCUGUAGCUCACAGAGGAGAGAAAAACACAUGCAAACAGCAGCAGAAGAUGCAUCUUAACUGACCUCUGAAAAGCUCAGAGACUGCUUGGAAGUCAAAGGCACAAACACAGGGCUCUCAUGGGCAUCACAGCAGGACAAACAGUGUCAGUCAUCAUCUUCCUCUUCAUCAUCGUCAUCAUGGCACAACCUGUUUUGCUCUGUCUGCAGAACAAUGCAUCAGGUCGUGGCUUGAUCGCACACGGAAGGAGCCGGGCAGCACCGAGGCUGUGGCUGGGCAGGGAGCCGGGCAGCACCGGGGCUGCGGCGGGAGGAGCCGGGCAGCACCGGGGCUGCGGCGGGAGGAGCCGGGCAGCCCUGGGCUGCGGAAGCCCCACUGCAGCUGCUGAGGAAGUAAUGACUCACAGAAUACUGGUGUGGGUGCAUCCACCAUUCCUCUCAAAUGCUGGUAUUCACUCACACAGGGAGUAAAACCAAUAGGAAAUUAUAAGAGUGUUCCAACCCAUGUUUUGAGCAUGCAGCUCCGUCUCCCUUUGCUUCUCUGUCCUGUGCUCUCUGGUGUGUCUUGCUGGAGCUCAGGUGCAAGAUGCCUGUCCCCUCACACAUAUUCAGGGAGGCCAUCAACAACACUUUUUGGAGAGGGCAUGUACUUGUGCUGCUGACUGUGCCAGUGGACAACCUCAGAAGCAGAGAAGAUGCCAGGCAGGCCAGAGAAGAGGAGAGUAUCCCCUGCCAGCCUGCAGCCCAGACAGACAGGCAAAGCCCAGCCCUGGCUGGAGCUAAACAUGGCCUCAUUUCAUGGCAAAACAAUUCCUCUUUGUGCAGCCUGUUCUCCCAGAACAAUCCUCUGCUCUGACAAUAUCCUUUCUGUGGCUUAGCCUCUGUGGAGUGAGCAGCAGUGUGCUCAGCCUGAUGCCUGGCAGCUCACACCCUGCUGCCCCAUGGCUGAGGUGCAGCACCUGAAACCCCUGCCCUGGGCAGCCUCUGCUGAGGACUCUGUGGCCACUUCAGGUCAAGGCAAAGUCUUCUCAGGAAAGUCCCCAGCACAGCCUAAAGCACUUGGGAGGGUUUUUUCUUCUACCUUUGCUCACUCCGUGGAGCUGCAUGGCACUGCUGUUCCCCAAGUUAGGAGGACAGGCUGGGACACAGUUGUGGAGUGUGACAUAUGGGUGUCAAGUCACCAAAUCUGACCAAAUCACAACUGCCUGAGUGAAGAAGUCACCUAGCUUCGCCAAGC